UCUGUGCGAACAUGAACGUAUCACUCGUAAAAAGUUGUAAUUCGAACAACGUGCCACCAGGGGGCGCCAGAAUUUCGAGAACAAGGCUACGUAAUCCACUUAAUUGGAAUGCCAUUCAGCUGGUGUCUUUACGUCAAAGCUGCUGAUGCGUAGGAUGGACACUCAACCUUGUCAAGAUGGCGGAAUAAUUCAACACGAAGAAGGAUGACAAUGACGGCGCCCACGGCCGCCCUCGUGGGUCACGUUACGAAGACAAGCGGUUAAUAGGCAGUCAAAAUGGACCCCGUGGGACUUACUUGAUGAAGACGGCUGUAACAAAGAGCGUCGCCAGUAGGCCCAGACAGGCAAAGACGACGGCGGCGACGGGUUCCGGAUCGGCCCAGCGCACUUUCUUACCACGCAGGUCGUCGGUGGGCCACGAGCCCAGCGGGCAGGCGCGACACGUGUACUCGUCGAACACAAACUCGUUGUCCUUGCAAGGCGUGCAGAUCUCCUGGUCGUUCAUGCGCAGGCCGCCCUGGUCCCAGCUGCCCACGUGCACGUAGGCGUACUCGUCCUCGGCCAUUUGCUUG